rnacentral:tRNA from 1 species
UCCCCAGUAGCUCAACGGUAGAGCGGGCGGCUGUUAACCGCUAGGUUGUAGGUUCGAGUCCUGCCUGGGGAGCCA